CGGCGGACGGGUGAGUAACGCGUGGGUAACCUGCCUCAUACAGGGGGAUAACAGUUAGAAAUGGCUGCUAAUACCGCAUAAGACCACAGCACCGCAUGGUGCGGGGGUAAAAACUCCGGUGGUAUGAGAUGGACCCGCGUCUGAUUAGCUAGUUGGUAAGGUAACGGCUUACCAAGGCGACGAUCAGUAGCCGACCUGAGAGGGUGACCGGCCACAUUGGGACUGAGACACGGCCCAA
rnacentral:rRNA from 1 species